rnacentral:misc_RNA from 1 species
GAUGAAGAACGUAGCGAAAUGCGAUACGUAAUGUGAAUUGCAGAAUUCAGUGAAUCAUCGAAUCUUUGAACGCACAUUGCGCCCCUUGGUAUCCCGAGGGGCAUGCCUGUUCGAGCGUCAUUUCACCACUCAAGCCUGGCUUGGUGUUGGGCGACGUCCCCUUUAGGGACGCGCCUCGAAACGCUCGGCGGCGUGGCACCGGCUUUAAGCGUAGCAGAAUCUUUCGCUUUGGAAGUCGGGGCCCCGCCUGCCGGAAUACCUACUCGUAAGGUUGACCUCGGAUCAGGCAGGGAUACCCGCUGAACUUAAGCAUAUCAAUAAGCGGAGGA